GGGUCCAUAGCUCAACGGUAGAGCAGCAGCCUUUUAAGCUGUUGGUUGAAGGUUCGAAUCCUUCUGGACUCA
rnacentral:tRNA from 1 species